rnacentral:lncRNA from 1 species
GAGUUCUUACGUGAUUAUAAUGAAUGAGCGAGGUUACCAAUGACUGCCCAAGUGCCCUGCUAUAUAGCAGGAGGUUCCUGAGGCUGCCUCCCAACCGCCGGUCACUGAGUCCUGGCACAGAAAGUUCCCGGGGAAAGUGAGGAGUUUCAGGGUACCCUCAUAAAAAUAUCCCAGUCUUCCCACUGCUCCCUUGCCCACUGCUCAGGUCACAGCGGGGGCUCUGGGAAAGCUGAGCUCGACUCGGGAGAUUUCCCUGUCUCCAGAACUAAAGGUGGAAGAAACCCACAAAAGGUGAAGAAGAAGGAAAGGUUUUUAACAUUUUGGCCACUGAAAUCUUAUCAUACAUCAGAGCCUGGAACUCUGCCACCCAUCCACUUGGCCAAUGCUGGACCAGAAAUGUUGAAUGUAAGUCACUGUGGGUUUUUUGGUUUUUCAAAAAUAGAAGAAAAGAGAUUUGGCUAGAAUGUGGCAUGUCUGGGUUUCCAAAUACAUCUGCCAAUACAGAGAAAUGAAGGCCACAGGGCAUGCUAUUGUAGGUAGCUUUACA